rnacentral:rRNA from 1 species
UACAGAGGUCUCGAGCGUUGUUCGGAUUCAUUGGGCGUAAAGUGCGCGUAGGCGGCGGGGUAAGUCUGGUGUGAAAUCUCGGAGCUCAACUCCGAAAUUGCACUGGAUACUGCUCUGCUAGAGGGCUGGAGAGGAGAUCGGAAUUCACGGUGUAGCAGUGAAAUGCGUAGAUAUCGUGAGGAAGACCAGUGGCGAAGGCGGAUCUCUGGACAGCUCCUGACGCUGAGGCGCGAAGGCUAGGGGAGCAAACGGG